CUGUGGGGGGAGGAGUCCCGCGGCGGUAAGAGCCAGGAGCCGCCUAGCUUGGGUAGCGGCGUGAAGAGUAAUCGACACGCUGAAGCCUACCGACAAAGCCCUCUCUGCCAAUAUGAGUGAGACACUUACCCGCCUUGAGUUUAGUGUAGGAUAGGGGGCGAGUAAGGAUGCGCACACACAGCCGGG
rfam:Deltaproteobacteria bacterium RIFCSPLOWO2_12_FTLL_60_19 rifcsplowo2_12_scaffold_808, whole genome shotgun sequence.